AUCUAGAGGAGAGCCAGUGGGACAUAGUAACACACAGUCAAUCCUAAAAUUAGUUUACCUCAAAGGAUGCUUUUAACAAUAUUGGAACAUGACCCUAUAGUUGUCUCUGCAUACAGUACCUCCAAUAGGAAGCAGAUGAUGAAGAUGAGUGUGACUAUACUUUUUUUGUGACUGAUUUGCAAGGCACGUUCGUUCAACAUUACCAAACCCAACAAAUAAUGUGAUACAUGACAUGGCCAAAAGUUUUGAUAACUGUAAAUCUUUCUUGGACAAGGGGACUUUUAUCAAUAUAUUCACCUGUAUUUACCCCCCAAAAAUGAAAUGCUAAUUAGCUGCUCACGUGGCUAUCAUAAAGAACUACAAAUGCCAUGACACUGUCGGAUUGAGGCAAAGGUAAGAAUCUCUGGGUCAACUAUCUAAUGUUARCUAAAUGUAGUAAUGAAUUCAUUGGCUAAAUUUCUUUAAAUGGGAAAUUCUGUGAACUGUCUUGUGCAAGUUUUAGUUGACACAAUACCUGUUAGCAAAGGUGUCGGCUAGAGAUGACAUGGAGGGAUUUGUAGUUUUGCAUAAUGUCUACUUUGAUACUAAUCAGCAUUUUAGAAUCUGAGAGUAAAUAGAGCUGAAUAUAUUGAUAAGUCACAUUGUCCGAGAGGAAUUUACAUGAUUAUCAAAAUGUUACGCAAGGGUAAACUUACACGAAACACAGCCCUUAUUUUAAGCGUUUCUAAAAUCCCCUAUGGGAAAUAUGAAUGGUGGGAAAACGAUUGGAACCAUUUCCCUGUUGACCGCUAGGUUUUAUGGGUAUUAUGACAACUCCAUUGUGGGACUCUAUGAAAGGUGCUAUACAAUACAAUUUGAUCAUAAUUACUAUUAAUCAAUGGUCCUUACCAGUACUGGGUGGUGGUGAUCUGCAGAGUGGACAUCUGGCCCAGGAURAGCAGCAGGGUGUGCAGCAUCAGGCUAGCUAGGACCGGCAGCGCCAGCAGUCUAGUGUGGGGCCGCUAGGGGCACAGCUCAAUGCUGGGUCCCCCUUUCCCCAUAACGAUUGCCAGCAGCAUCACCAGGAAAGAACAGGAACUGCAGGUCGACCAGGUUAGUCUUCUCCUGAAAGGGGCACACAAAAUGGCGGAGAGAGUCAACACGUGCUAUAAGUGAGUGAGGGUAAAAUACAAUUCCAAAGCAUUCUUCUGAUCCAGGCAAAUUGAAUGUUAGAUAUCGACAAGAUGUAAGUUAAAACCUGCCAUGAGGAAGUAUGCACCAUAAACCCCUCCAAAACAUUGCACACAUUAUCUGUCAUAUCUCCUGCCUUUAUUUCUUUCCAUAGGUAAAUAAACUGUAGGCUUGGCUUAGCAACCACUAUAGAACUCACAGUGUAGAGGAUGAGUACAGACGAGAACUUGGAUGAGACUAUACAAGGCCAUGUACUUAAAGAGACUGAACGAUGUCACCAGAGAAUCACCCGUGUCAAAAAUAAUUACAACAGCACAUUUUUUCUAUGACUCUACAGUACUCGGUACUGUUGGAUGUCAGGUGUCCUUACCGUGUACAGCUGAUGUUGUCUGAAUUGGAGGUGAAGGGAGUCCACAGAAGCAUCGUCCUCAGACAGACACACUUACAUCUGCGGCCCUCAAGGCUCCGCAAUCAUUGACCCCGUCUCCCCAUAUGCCCACACUGUAGCUACACAGGGAGGAAGAUGGUGAAUGGGUGAGACCUUAGGCCUGUACCCUUUUCACACUACUGAGCUGUGCCAAAGUGAACUGAGCCAAUCAGUGGAAGAAUCUGCCCUGCGUCUGUCCUUUCAUGUACCUCCAUUUGCUACAGAGUUCCUUUGUCUUUCUCUUUUUCCCUACUUUCAAUCAAUGUCAUUCUAGUCCCGUCUCCUCCUCUGGGGCCUAAUUUAUAAACCGUGCGUACAUACAAAACAUACCCCAAAACAUGCGUGUGCCAGUUUUCACACAAAAUUUGCCUUUAUAAAAACUCAAUUUGAGGUUAGAAUGUGCACACCAUCCCGCAAACUUUAGACCAUGCGUAUCUUUAGACAGUUUCUAGUGCUUGAAGUAUUGCAAGCAGGCAAGUAGCCUAGUAUUUUGUGCAACAAAUGGGGGAUAAGAUGGACAAGUUUGUUCAUAAUAAAUUGAUAAGAUUAAAUUGUUUGCCGUUAGUGAGAAGAGAGAACAGCAAUUUUGUUUCUUUGCAUUAUAGAAUAAUUAUAAAUAGGCAUCCAUUUCCUAGGUUAUAUUAGAAUCAUUGCAGAAUAAAUUCCUCACCUUUUCUGUGAUGGUUUUAUACUCACGAGGUAGCCUAUAGACCCGCAACAAGUUAGGAUACCAUUCUUCCUGUCUUUUGUUUAUUUGGACCCACUUCACAGUAGUAAAUAGAUAAGCUAUUUCAAGUAUUUGUCAAUGCCAUCCGAUCCAGAGCACAGUUUAUUAACAGUAGAACAGACAAUGUUUGGGCUACAAAGACAGAGAGAUGCUAUUCAUACCAGAGACCAUGACGGUAUGAAGAUGUGCCAAUAUGAGGGUAGUUAUGACCUGACCAGAUUGUUCAUUACCAGCAGACCGCAGGGACUGCAUGUCUAUCUCUACCUCCCCCCUGUGGACACAAACACAUCUCCAUCAACACCUAGUAAAUGUGAUAGUUCACAAUCGGCGCUACAGGCAGAGGUUUAGAAGAGAUUAUGGAGGACUUGGGUAGUAGCUAGGAGGGACAUAAAGAACAUAAAAUGUUGUUCAAUGGUGCUCAAGUCAGUCUGCCCAUCCAGAGGUUUGUAACCAAAAGGUAGCACCCUGAAGCCUUCACUUGCGAAAGUAUGCAGGGUGUUUGAGAAUUGUGUUGGCACUGCAAGACAUGGUUUAAAAGAAAGACAAUAGAGCUAAACAAUAAUCAAAGAAGACGAGCUUAAAAACACCUCACAAAAUUCAUUUGAACAAGUGUUAAUGCUAAUCUUAUAGCAACUUAUUCUUUCUGUGAAAUAUCUAUAACUUCAUGGCUCUCUUUAUCUCCUCUCUCUUUGUCUUUCUCUCAUACUGCUGUCUUUCAGGCAGAGCCUGGCCAUCAUCUCGGGGCCUCUUUGAGAAAGGCGAGGGGUGGCUGUCCCCCGGGGGCCACUGUCACCUCCGCUGGAGGGAUGAGAAGGGAAACAGCGCAAGAGGGCCAUAGCCUCAUGAAUGGAUUGAUAGAACAUGACAGAAGAAAAACAUGGAAACAUCCAGAGAGCCUCUUUUGCCCAACCCCCCUCCUAAUGGUUCGGUCCUGCCCCCAAACCAGGCACAGAACGGUACUUGCUAGCAGUGAAUUGCGAGUGAGGAGUGCCGGUGGAGCAUCAUGUCUCAACUUCCCAUAGAAAAAUCUGGCUUCCAAAAACGAAAAGGAGACAGGAGAGAGAAAAGGGCGACAGUAUGUCACUCAAUUUUUGACAAAGGAAGGCCCAACAGAUGCAGUAUCAGGCUUGGCAGCCCUGUCCCCCCAUCACCAUACCCCUGAACCAGCCCUACUCCCAACUGAAGAAGUUGAGGUCCACUAUGUCCCAGGACAGGCUUUGCAGUCUUGCCAUGCUGUCCAUUGAAAGUCAGUUAGCUAGAAAGCUGGACUUCAAAGACCUGAUCGUGACUUUGCUAGCAAGAAGGCUCGGCCCUGGGCUCUUGGUGAGUAAGGCUGAGCAAGGGCCAGUGACAACUGUUAAACAACAUGGCUAUUGGAUCACUACACACAAUGCCCACAGGCUAAGAACAAGACUGAAAAUAAGAGAUCUGAAAGUAAUGGCUGGAUUGCCAUAAAAAUGUAUUGUGCACAAUCAAGACCAAGUGGAAGAAACCUAUUGAUUUGGUGACCACUUGACCUUUCCUCUAGCGCCACCAUCAGGCCUUUUCAUUACCAUUUUUACGGCUGCUUAUUUUCUAGUUCUAGAUUUUAUUAUAUCAUUCUAUAGUUGUUCAUUUAUUUUAAUUGAAGAGGUUAAUGUAUAUUUAAGUUAUUUAUUUUAAGUUAUUCAUUAAUGUUAAUAGAAUUUUCCAUUCAAGAAUUUUACCAUUAAUUACAUUUAGACUCUAAAAGAUGGCCUUUAGCACAUUUCUUAUAGAGGGUAUCAGUCUUGAAUCAAAUAGUGAAUUUGACUGUAUGCAGAAUGUUGCAUGCAUGUCUGCACAGUGUUAUAUUUUCACAGCUCACUGUCAGUAAAUAUCGUACAGUAAAUAUUGGACUA